UUGAAACGCUUUUCUUAAUUUCUUUUAUUUUACUUUUUUUAUAAUUAGUUAAUUAGGGAGAAUUUGGUGUCAAUUUUAAUUCUCUCUUUGAUCAUUGUGUGAAAUCUAAAUUAAUUACCUUAUUCCGAUUUCUCUUCUCUUUCUGUUUUGGAAACAUGAUAUCGUUUGUGUGUCAAUUUUGAUUCUGGUUGAAGAGAAUUUUUUUCUUCUCUUUUCUGAUAAAUUGUUACUGUUGUUCAAUCAAAGUCUUUAAUUUAUUUUGAUUAUUGGUGAUGAUAACAAAAAAGGAGUAAGUGGAAACAAAUCAACGCUUAAUUUUUUUGUUGGUUGGAUUUGAUUUCCGUUUAGUUUGUUUCGUCUGGUUUAAUCAAAAAGUCUCACAAUUCAACCAAGGCGAUCGAUUUGCCUUCUUCUUUUCAUCGGAUUUGAGAACAAGAGCAUAAAAAGAAUAAGAAAUUAAAUCUUAUCUGGUUUCUUUUUUAUUAUUAUUCUUCACUUUGAAUGAUCUCUCAAUUGAUUUUACAGAUUCUAAUCUAAUCUCCAUCUUUAUCCUCUCUAUCAUCACCUUAUUGUAAUUUAAUAUGUGAUUUGGUUUUCAUCAUUAAAUGGAUGGAAAAAUGGUUUCUCGAUCUGUUCAGGAGAUGAAAAUGUAUCAACAUGGAAGAGAUGAAGACCAAAGAGAAAACAACAAGGUCACCAAGACAAAAAAAAUCCUCUCAUGGUCGUUUGGAUGAAGGAAGAGAAUGAUAAAUAUUCCUGAAGAUGGAUAAGAACUCCAACAACGUUGAAGAAGUAAAAAAACCAAGUGACCAAAUCAACGUUGACCCAAACCAGAAAAAAACAGAUGAUUAAGAAUUCAUGUUUACCUGAGAGAGAGAGGAAAAAAAUCAAACUGAUGGAAAUGAUAUAAACAUUUUCCCAAUGUUUACCAAAUAUCUUUUUUUUUAUAUGUGGUCGCCUUCACGAGAGAUGAAAAUAGUCACAGUACAAUGAUACUUCCGGUUAAUUCUGAUAACUCACUUUAAAUCAUGAUAAUCAUCAUUUCCUAAAAACAAUCAACAGGUUCACACUAUUUGGCAACAAUUAGGAAAUGGAAUUGAGAGAAAAACAAGGAUCGUAAUUAACUUUGGAAAUUUCACUUUUUUGGAUUACCUGAUAAUUUUUCAAUUCCUCUCAAGUCCAACUUAAACCCGAAGGAGAAAAAGAUUUGUAAUGAUUAGUAAACAAUCAAAGCUCAACAACAAACAAUCAAUUAAUCAAGUUGAAUAAACAAUUGAUCAAACGAUUGAUUGUACUUGUGAGAGAUUAAUUCACUUUCGUUUGGCUUAAAUUAAAGGUCUAACAAUUAGUGAUAAUAAACAAAUUGGAAGGCUGUUCUUGUAUCAUGGUGAUUAAGAAUCAAAUUUAAUCUGUAACAUUUAACCAUGGACGACACCCUCCCAAAAAUUAACGAUUGAUUAAUUGAUUGUUUGUAUGUUAAUCGUAAUUGAUCAAAUUUCCUUGAAUUAUUUACGAUUAUUGAUGAAAAAAAAUCAUCUUUAAUCAUCAAGGUUUCCCAAUCAACUUUUAAACUAAUUUGCUGAGUCAGAUUUAAGAAUUAAUUUUGUUACCAUCAACAUCUAAAUAUUUGUAAUUGUGCUCUGUCAUUUCAAGGGUUUCCAAUUAUUAUUCAAUUAACAAUUACAUGAUCAGUAAUCUCUCAACCAAUUAAAUCAACAACCUCCACAACAAUUGGAAUGAGAUAUUUGAUUAACACAACGAAUCAUCAAAUAAUUGUCAUUGAUUGUGAAUGAUUAACUACUAGUACAUAUAAGCUGAGUCUUACAUCGUUACUAAAGCGGUUGAGAUCGCGGUCAAACAUCGUAACUCAAUGACCGAUAAUCCAAUGUACAUGGCAUGUCAGUCGAUUCUCAGUGUUCGGAAACUAUCGGUCACUUCAGAAGAUAUCAACUACGAGGUCACUUUUAAUAUCGCUAUGACCGAUUGUACAAAACUGGAUCCUCAUUACUCUUGUAGGAUUCUUCUUGGUGCGGAAUCCGAGAAGUGUACCUAUGUUUUCAAUCAGAAAAUGCUCAAGGACACACCGAAAAUUACCAAUUGGCAGUGCGGAGGUCAAAAUUAACGGACACGAUUAACGACCAACAAAAGUAAAGGGUUAGGUUAAUCAUUUGGAGAAAAGAUUAUUGUAAGUGUUUAAUUACAGUGAUUAACACCUUUGAUUAUAAUAAAAUGGUUAAUUGUACUUACCUUAAUCAUGUAAUUGCAUAAAUAAAAAUAACUUGAUUGUGAUUCGUUUACAGUUAAGAUCACAAUCAAAUUACAAUCGUUACUGAAACAAAAUUAACAAUCAAGUUCAAUGAUUAAGCAAAUAAACUGA